rnacentral:rRNA from 1 species
AUUGAACGCUGGCGGCAGGCCUAACACAUGCAAGUCGAACGAGUGGCGGACGGGUGAGUAAUGUCUGGGAAACUGCCUGAUGGAGGGGGAUAACUACUGGAAACGGUAGCUAAUACCGCAUACCAUCAGAUGUGCCCAGAUGGGAUUAGCUAGUUGGUGGGGUAACGGCUCACCAAGGCGACGAUCCCUAGCUGGUCUGAGAGGAUGACCAGCAAGACGUGAAUGGAGACAGGGUCCAGAAUCCUACGGGAGGCAGCAGUGGGGAAUAUUUCACAAUGGGCGCAAGUCUGAUGCAGCCAUGCCGCGGGUAUGAAGAAGGCCUUCGGGUUGUAAAGUACUUUCAGCGGGGAGGCGUUACCCGCAGAAGAAGCACCGGCUAACUCCGUUCCAGCAGCCGCGGUAAUUC